rnacentral:lncRNA from 1 species
GGCUAGUUAGUAAGGGGCUAGUUAGGUAGAGGCUAGUUAGUUAGGGGCUAAUUAGUUAGGGGCUAGUUAGUUAGGGGGUAGUUAGUACCCUGAGGUUAUGCAGGCUGCUAGUUAGUUAGGGGCUAGUUAGUUGGAGGCUAGUUAGUUAGGGGCUAGUUAGUACCCUGAGGUUAUGCAGGCUGCUAGUUAGUUGGAGGCUAGUUAGUUGGAGGCUAGUUAGUUAGGGGCUAGUUAUACCCUGAGGUUAUGCAGGCUACUAGUUAGUUAGGGCUAGUUAGUUAGCGGUUAGUUAUACCCUGAGGUUAUGCAGGCUGCUAAUAAGUUAGGGAGUAGUUAGUUAGGGGCUAGUUGGUUAGGGGCUAGAUAGGUAGAGGGUAGUUAGUUAGUUGCUAGUUAGUUAGGGGCUAGUUAGUACCCUGAG